GGUUCGGAGUUACUGGCGUCAGGAUGAACGCUGGCGGCGUGCCUAACACAUGCAAGUCGAACCGGGGUGGUCCGAGUCUUCGGACUGGACACUUAGUGGCGGACGGGUGAGUAACGCGUGGGUAACCUGCCUCAUACAGGGGGAUAGCAGUUGGAAACGACUGAUAAUACCGCAUAAGCGCACAGUACCGCAUGGUACAGUGUGAAAAACUCCGGUGGUAUGAGAUGGACCCGCGUCUGAUUAGCUUGUUGGCGGGGUAACGGCCCACCAAGGCGACGAUCAGUAGCCGGCCUGAGAGGGUGAACGGCCACAUUGGGACUGAGACACGGCCCAAACUCCUACGGGAGGCAGCAGUGGGGAAUAUUGCACAAUGGGGGAAACCCUGAUGCAAGCGACGCCGCGUGAAGGAUGAAGUAUUUCGGUAUGUAAACUUCUAUCAGCAGGGAAGAUGAUGACGGUACCUGACUAAGAAGCCCCGGCUAACUACGUGCCAGCCGCCGC
rnacentral:rRNA from 1 species